AAAAUAAAGCGGGAUUUGGUUCUUUGCUCACACAGCAUACUUGCUUGCAAAAGAGACAAUGUUGCUCGUUCUGUGCUUGUUCAUAGUUCUUUUUUUCCUCCGGAUGUUAGUUCAGAAUCAGCUACAACAUCCUUGAAAGGCAAUGCGGAUGGGUAUAAAUCAUGCAGUGAUGCAAUCCAAAGAUCAGAUGAUGUAACAGUGGACAGCACCAUUUCUACCAAGUAUCAAAUUAAAGUUGUCAUGGAUGCAGAUCAAAAGACAGAUGACAGCUCCACAUCCCAAAGCCAUUUUACCCGAAAACCUAUGGAGAGGAUGUCAUUUGCCGGGAAGCAAAUCCCUCAUGGAGCUUCCCUUGCAUCUUGUAAUCCGUUGGAGGAGGGAGAAUGGAGCUCAAAAUCAAGAAAGCGUUUUGAGACCUUUGAGAAAGAGCUGGUGAUGACAUCAGAUCAAGCAUCUAUGAAGAAUCAGCAGUUACCUAAAGGAUAUUUUUAUAUUCCUGUUGAUUGCCUUCCAAAGGAGAAGCAGAUCAACCAGGGUGGAAAUUCUGGUGGACCAUUAGAACAGCACAGGUAGAUGAUGGAGGCAAAUAUUGGGUUCCUGAUUUGAGCACAGGGUAUCGGCAGGCAUCUNNCGAGGACAACUGCCUUCUGCCAAGGAGCUAGGCUAUUUAUCUGUUAUUGGAUUUAUGGAGGGAGAAUGGCAGAAUGGCGCUCUGAGAUGGUGUAUCCCCUUGAAUAGAAUUAAGGUCCAGGACAGAGCAAGGGAGUUUUAGCAUCAUUGUUGUAUAUUCAUUGUGAGAGUAAUUGUACAGUGAGGGUUUGUUCAAUUACAUGUAAUGCGGGCGGCUCGAAUUCAAGUAUAUUGAUGCUUGUCUCUUGUGGUUGGGAAGCUCUGCUGCUUGUAUGUUUAUGCAAGAAAUUAAAAGGUGUCACCUACUGUGCUUGCGCUGUAAAGUUGAUGUAAAUAUUUCUACAGUAUCAAUCUCAAAGAAAUUGCGCUCAACUUCAGAUUGAUGAAGCGUCCAACUUGCCCUCCGAAUGCAGCCACAUUAUUUUAUUUUUUCUUGUGGUUGUUUUCCUUGAGAUUUUUCAAUUAACCGACCAUGUAUUAUUUAGUUGCAAAAGAAAACCUAUUAUUUGUUGUUUGUAUAUUUGAUGAACGGGAUAAAAUUUCUCGUACUUGAGGG
rnacentral:misc_RNA from 1 species